rnacentral:misc_RNA from 1 species
GAUGAAGAACGUAGCGAAAUGCGAUACUUGGUGUGAAUUGCAGAAUCCCGUGAACCAUCGAGUCUUUGAACGCAAGUUGCGCCCGAAGCCACUAGGUCGAGGGCACGCCUGCCUGGGCGUCACACGCCGUUGCCCCCCCAUCUACUCCUUCGGGAUUGCGGGGGGGCGGAUGAUGGCCUCCCGUGCGCCUAGCCGCGCGGUUGGCAUAAAUACCAAGUCCUCGGCGACGCACGCCACGACAAUCGGUGGUUGCGAAACCUCGGUUGCCCGUCGUGUGCGUUCGUCGCGCAUCGAGGGCUCGAAAAAAUGCUCGUCUCCGGCUGGGCUUUCAACGCGACCCCAGGUCAGGCGGGGUUACCCGCUGAAUUUAAGCAUAUCAAUAAGCGGAGGA